AGAGUUUGAUCAUGGCUCAGGACGAACGCUUGCGGCGUGCUAAGAAAUGCAAGUCGAGCGGGGUUCACGCUGUCCGAAGCCCGCUUCGGCGGACAGAGGACUUGUGUAACCUAGCGGCAAACGGUCGAGUAACACGUAAGAAACGUGCCCCGAAGUUGGGGAUAGCCCGCCGAAAGGCGGAUUAAUACCGAAUACGUCCGGUGCGGCGCAUGUCGCGCAGGAUAAAGUGGCAACACGCUUCGGGAUGGGCUUGCGGCCUAUCAGCUAGUUGGUGGGAUAAUAGCCUACCAAGGCGACGACGGGUAGCUGGUCUGAGAGGAUGGUCAGCCGGAUUGGGACUGAGACACGGCCCAGACUCCUACGGGGGGCAGCAAUUAGGAAUCUUGCGCAAUGGGGGAAACCCUGACGCAGCGACGCCGCGUGAGCGAUGAAGUCUUUCGGGAUGUAAAGCUCUGUCCUGCGGGGAAGAAGGAUGUGACGGUACCCGCAGAGAAAGCCCCGGCUAACUACGUGCCAGCAGCCGCGGUAAUACGUAGGGGGCGAGCGUUGUCCGAAUUUACUGGGCGUAAAGCGCGUGUAGGCGGCUCUUUAAGUCAGGUGUGAAAUCUUGCGGCUCAACCGCAAAACUGCACUUGAAACUGGAGGGCUUGAGUUUGGGAGAGGAGAGUGGAAUUCCUGGUGUAGCGGUGAAAUGCGUAGAUAUCAGGAGGAACACCCGUGGCGAAGGCGGCUCUCUGGCCCAACACUGACGCUGAGACGCGAAAGCUAGGGGAGCGAACGGGAUUAGAUACCCCGGUAGUCCUAGCCGUAAACGAUGGAUACUAGGUGUUAGCGGUAUCGACCCCGCUAGUGCCGCAGCUAACGCAUUAAGUAUCCCGCCUGGGGAGUACGGCCGCAAGGUUGAAACUCAAAUGAAUUGACGG
rnacentral:rRNA from 1 species